rnacentral:rRNA from 1 species
AACGAACGCUGGCGGCAGGCUUAACACAUGCAAGUCGAACGGAUGUAGCAAUACAUUAGUGGCGCACGGGUGAGUAACGCGUGGGAACGUGCCCUUAGGUACGGAAUAACUUCGGGAAACUGAAGCUAAUACUGUAUAAUGUCUUUGGACCAAAGAUUUAUCGCCUAAGGAACGGCCCGCGUUGGAUUAGGUGGUUGGUGAGGUAAUGGCUCACCAAGCCUACGAUCCAUAGCUGGUCUGAGAGGAUGAUCAGCCACACUGGGACUGAGCCACGGCCCAGACUCCUACGGGAGGCAGCAGUGAGGAAUAUUGGACAAUGGAGGAAACUCUGAUCCAGCCAUGCCGCGUGAGUGAAGAAGGCCUUCGGGUUGUAAAGCUCUUUUACCCCUGACGAUAAUGACGGUAAGGGGAGAAAAAGCCACGGCUAACUUCGUGCCAGCAGCCGCGGUAA